AUUGAACGCUGGCGGCAGGCCUAACACAUGCAAGUCGAGCGGAUGAAGGGAGCUUGCUCCUGGAUUCAGCGGCGGACGGGUGAGUAAUGCCUAGGAAUCUGCCUGGUAGUGGGGGAUAACGUCCGGAAACGGGCGCUAAUACCGCAUACGUCCUGAGGGAGAAAGUGGGGGAUCUUCGGACCUCACGCUAUCAGAUGAGCCUAGGUCGGAUUAGCUAGUUGGUGGGGUAAAGGCCUACCAAGGCGACGAUCCGUAACUGGUCUGAGAGGAUGAUCAGUCACACUGGAAAUGAGACAGGGUCCAGACUCCUACGGGAGGCAGCAGUGGGGAAUAUUGGACAAUGGGGCAAAGCCUGAUCCAGCCCUGGCGGGUGUGUGAAGAAGGUGCUCCGAUUGUAAAGCCAUUUAAGUUGGGAGGAAGGGCAGUAAGUUAAUACCUUGCUGUUUUGACGUUACCAACAGAAUAAGCACCGGCUAACUUCGUG
rnacentral:rRNA from 1 species